AGGUCCCAAGGGUUGGGCUGUUCGCCCAUUAAAGUGGCACGCGAGCUGGGUUCAGAACGUCGCGAGACAGUUCGGUCCCUAUCUGUUGUGGGCGUUAGAGAUUUGAGGGAAUCUGUCCCUAGUACGAGAGGACCGGGAUGGACGAACCUCUAGUGUACCUGUUGUGGCGCUAGCUGCAUCGCAGGGUAGCUAUGUUCGGACGUGAUAAGCGCUGAAAGCAUCUAAGCGCGAAACACAUCUCAAGAUGAGAUCUCUUUUAAAGGUCGUUAAAGACGAUAACGUUGAUAGGCUACAGGUGUAAAGUCAGUGAUGGCAAAGCCGAGUAGUACUAAUUACCUGUAAGCUUUUAAUA
rnacentral:rRNA from 1 species